AUCGCUUCUCGGCCUUUUGGCUAAGAUCACAUGUAGUAUCUGUUCACAUCAGCUUAAUAAUAUCUUUGGGCCCUUGAAAUUAUUAUUUUGAAAAUCUUAGCUUUGUAUAUUGUCAUCAAGGUAUAACAGGCACAGUAAAAAGUAA
rnacentral:snRNA from 1 species